rnacentral:misc_RNA from 1 species
GCUUGCGCAACAACUUCCAUCUGACUUACCUCUUCAGUUGUUUGUCAAGGCUUUUAUUGCCUAGGCAGAAUGUGGGUUUCCUGUGUUGCCUACCUAAUUAAUGGUAUUUUCCCGGUUAUUGAUUUGUCCCUAUUCAUUUUGUGUUAUACUCAUGACAUUAGAUGAUCCUUAAAGCUUUCUCUUUAGACCACAUCAUUGGUUGUCGAUGUUGUGGAACAUUGAGUAUUGUUUGGUUUCUUGAAUACAGAACAUGAUGUUGGCAUUGGGUCUUUUGAGAUCCUUGUUUUGCCCUCAUUUAGUGAUAUCGCUUCUCUUUAAAUGACUUCCUAACACGAAAUUGGCUCGUUACCAGCGUGGCAGGUUA